UACGUAGGGGGCUAGCGUUGUCCGGAAUCAUUGGGCGUAAAGAGCGCGUAGGCGGCUAGGUAAGUCCGACGUGAAAUCUGGAGGCUCAACCUCCAGCGGUCGUUGGAAACUACUUGGCUAGAGUCCGGAAGAGGAGAGUGGAAUUCCUGGUGUAGCGGUGAAAUGCGCAGAUAUCAGGAAGAACACCGAUGGUGAAAGCAGCUCUCUGGGACGGUACUGACGCUGAAUAGCGAAAGCCAGGGGAGCAAACGGG
rnacentral:rRNA from 1 species